rnacentral:siRNA from 1 species
UUAGAGGUUUUAAAGACUUGUUGC